CUCAGCAGCCAUUAUGUCACCCUGGAACUUACAACUGCCAACCCACUGAAACUAAGCAGGUGUGAGCCUGGUCAGUACCUGGAUGUGAGACCUCCUGGGGAAAACUAAGGUUGCUGCUGGAA
rnacentral:rRNA from 1 species